ACUAGUGGUGGCCCGGCUCGGUAGAGGUUUUGAUGCUUUGGUUGCUGUGUAGUCGGGCUUCUGCAAGAAGAUUAUGAUAUAAGAUGCAAGUCAGCAGGUCUCCAAGGUUCAAGGUCUAACCCAGCAAGGCUCGAGAAACUGUCAAAAGAAACUGAUGCCCUCAUUUUCCAAUCAGUAAAAAAACAAAACUUUGGAGGAUGUGAAAGUAGGUGGAUUAAAGAGAUUCCUCAUCUAUCAAGUUGUUAUUAUCUUAAGAGGAGGGGUUUUGAAUGGAAGUAAAAAACAAAGUGUUGUGGUCAAUGUACACUUGUAGUAUGGAUAUUGCCCCGUAAAUCUUGGUUGAUGGUGAUAUUUGCUGCUUCAGGAUGAGAUAAAACAAGAACAGGCGGGAUUAUGUGAAAGGUUAAAUGGGAAAAUGUCAAAAACAUGUAGCGUCAUCAUAUAGCUGAUUCCAUCUCAUGGCUAGUGAGUGACCCACUAUAGAGAGAGAGGUCCCUCUCCCACUCAUAAAGUCCGUCCAAAUCAAUGAGUUGGAGAGCCACAUGCAGUGUAAUGAAGAGGCUGCCUUUGCAUGAGAAAGAGACAAUAUGCCAGACGAGAUUUAAUUUGGGCACAGAAUUUCACCAACUCGAAAUAGAACUCCAAAUAAAAUUGUUACGUGACAUUUGCUUGUUAACUAAUAUAUAUGUUGUGGGUUGCUGAUCCAGAAAGAGACAAUUAUCUGGUUAAUUAGCAGCGACAUAAAGGAAAUUGAAUUUGGUUCUGUUUAAUGGUAUGGCAGUUCGAUGGUUAUGUGGCCAAAGGUAGUAGGCUGGCUUGCAAUGCAGGAGAAUGUCUUUUUCCAUGCUUAAAAGACGAAACUGAUUGGAACUUGAGAAAUUGUUAUUUAGAAUGGUGAUCUCUUCUUUGUUAACAGGAUAUGCACUGCAGCACAAUGUGGCCCAAACUCAUGAGAUGAUCAAAGGCAUAUGCUGUACCGACAUUUCAAACUCUUUUAUUCCAUGGAACAUGUUUUCAGCUUCUGAUGAUAUUUAUAGCGAUCGCAUCAUAGAUUCCUUAACACGGCUGCUGUGCAUGAGCAAGGUCAUGAUCACCUGCUGUGACUUGUCAGAUUUCUCUGCCUGCACUCUUGUCAAGUACAGUGCUAAUGUCGGUAAUUUGCUACCAUGUUAACAUCUAAAGGAUUAUGACAAAUCAUUAUCAUGUGAAGGUCAAUGAUCUCUGGCCCUUCCUUUGUUCUCAGCCUUGUUCUCUUCCAGUUGGCCCAAAAUAUUAUUUUGUUCUUAUGAUCAUCUCCCUCCCUGCUUCAUUUGACCUUAUAUGAAUUCUGAGAUUAAUAUAAAGGUCAGGUGCACUGUUGUUUUAUAAGCUGAAAUAAAUAUACCCUGUUGGACCAGAAAUUGUUAUUAUCUGAAAUAAUUAGUAUCCAUCAAUACACAGAAAUCAUUAAGUUCUUAAUUCUGAUUUCAUGGCAAGCAUCGCAGUGAGGAUUUAAACGUCAUCUGCUUGUUCGAAUUCUGUUUCCAUAUCUGGAGGAGGAUUAGACUCCAUGUUGUUGUGAUGCGGCAAGGGAUGCGUGAAUUGGGCAAACCACACAGCUUCAACAGCCACUCACAUUCCCAGGUGUUAGUCAUCUACAUCCCUGCAGUCCACUUGUGCUAUUCACCAGCCUUUGAGGGCAGUUACAUGUCAAACCUUGUCAUAAUACAAAUUACAGCAUACCCUUUGAGAGAGAGGCAAAAGAAAGCAAGGAGGAUAAUGGCAGAUACCAGAGGAGUACCGUGGGUUGCAAUGAUGGGUGUGGAUGUCCUGUUCCUUGCGCUGGUGGCACAUCCUGCGGGUCUCGAUAGUUGCCAUGAUUUAAUAAAAAAAUUUUCUCUGUUUUGUUU